UAAAUCUUUAUUUUUAGUGGCGUCAAGGUUGUAGAUACUGGUCUCCCCGUGCUUCAAGUUCGUCCUUCUAUAGGGACCCUAAAAGUCCUGUGGCCGCGAAAAACGAAAGAAUGAGGCGUAAACCAUGCCCACCCAUAUACAGACUUUUGGUUCUGUUUAGUAUUGUCAUGAUUACUUGGUGAUUUAUAGAUAGCUGUUUUCCGAGGAACUGUCAAAAUUACCAAUGUGUGGACCAAAAACAGUUGGUACUUUUAUACCUACUGGAAAAUGCAGAAAGGGCGUUGAACCCAAGCAGAAGGGGAUUUUUUGGUGCAAGUCAUGUAACAGUGCAGUCAAGUUUCCACGCCCUAGCUCGGGAGAUGGGUUAUGAAUGAUCAGCCGCACUGUUUGAUAAACGCAUAAAGGUAGGCACUAAUAUAAUGACGAGGAAGUUUCGUUAGGACAGUUACAGAAAUUCGAGUUCAUGGAACUUCAGAUCGCAACACACAAUCUUAGCAAUAAGAACAUAUUAGGGAAAGGAAGUUUUGGGCGUUACAAUGAUUAGCAAGAAAGGCGGGAAUCCUGAUGCAUGUGUGGUCAUCCUGACUUCAAUGUCUGCAAAAAACUUUUUAGGUAAUAGGAAUUUUUGUCCACGACAACUUUCCUCGCGUUAGAAAGAAAACUGAUAGAAAUAAAUGUUUUGGAGCCAUCUUUGCCUUUCAAGCUCAUCGUCAAAACUGGUUACUUAGAGUGAUGAGGUUCCCGCUUUGCAAAAAGUUCAAGAUUGCACUCUGAUAAUUGUAGAUACUGCUUUUAAAUUUGAUUACUUUUUAUACUUGUAGUCACAUGUCCUAAUCGUAAAUGCUGAACUAAAUCUAUGUUUAUAUAUUCAUAAGUCCUAAAUGUAGUGUAAAUUAAACCCAAAAAUUUUAUCGGUGACUAAAGUUCAUAUCCAUUUUGAAUAAUAUUAGAUGUCCAUAAUACAAA